rnacentral:rRNA from 1 species
AGAGUUUGAUCCUGGCUCAGAUUGAACGCUGGCGGCAGGCCUAACACAUGCAAGUCGAACGGUAACAGGAAACAGCUUGCUGUUUCGCUGACGAGUGGCGGACGGGUGAGUAAUGUCUGGGAAACUGCCUGAUGGAGGGGGAUAACUACUGGAAACGGUAGCUAAUACCGCAUAACGUCGCAAGACCAAAGAGGGGGACCCUCGGGCCUCUUGCCAUCGGAUGUGCCCAGAUGGGAUUAGCUUGUUGGUGGGGUAACGGCUCACCAAGGCGACGAUCCCUAGCUGGUCUGAGAGGAUGACCAGCCACACUGGAACUGAGACACGGUCCAGACUCCUACGGGAGGCAGCAGUGGGGAAUAUUGCACAAUGGGCGCAAGCCUGAUGCAGCCAUGCCGCGUGUAUGAAGAAGGCCUUCGGGUUGUAAAGUACUUUCAGCGGGGAGGAAGGGAGUAAAGUUAAUACCUUUGCUCAUUGACGUUACCCGCAGAAGAAGCACCGGCUAACUCCGUGCCAGCAGCCGCGGUAAUACGGAGGGUGCAAGCGUUAAUCGGAAUUACUGGGCGUAAAGCGCACGCAGGCGGUUUGUUAAGUCAGAUGUGAAAUCCCCGGGCUCAACCUGGGAACUGCAUCUGAUACUGGCAAGCUUGAGUCUCGUAGAGGGGGGUAGAAUUUCCAGUGUAGCGGUGAAAUGCGUAGAGAUCUGGANGAAAACCGNGGCGAAGCGGCUCCUGGACGAAAACUGACGCUCAGUGCGAAAGCGUGGGGAGCAAACAGGAUAGAUACCUGGUAGUCCACGCCGUAAACGAUGUCGACUUGGAAGUUGUGCCCUGAGGNNGGCUUCNGAGCUACGCGGUAGUCGACCG